CAUAUAUAUAACUAGGAAAAAAAUUUUAGUAACAAAAAUCAGCUUUACCCCUAACUCUUGUUACAUACAAAAAAAUAUUUCUCAUUUUCAUCACAAAAAAUCUGUUCAUCCGAUCUAGAGAAAUAGCUAGCCGACAGGCAGUCAAAUUACAGAACCAAUUUUUCUCAUGGAAUUUGUAGCUUUCAGAUAUGGAUGUAGCACAACUCACAACAAAUCAUACAUCAACGAUGAAGUUUUGCUAUUUCCCUUGCACCCCUAUCCCAUCCAUGUUGUCAACCUUGUAUGAAGUGGUAAUUCCCACCAUUACAGGUACGAAGUAACUUUGCUUAUGAUUUUUUUUCUUUUUAUUGUUGCUUGAAUUCCUAUGUCUCUUAUUCAACUUCAUUGACCACUAAGCGACAUUGUCAAUGUUGGUCUGGUAACUCGUAACUUUUCUUAUUUUUUUUUCCGGAGGGGGAGGGAAUAGGUGUUUAGGGUUUUUUUUUAUGGAGAAACUUGAAGUCGAGGGGAGGGGAUGAGGAUUGAAGAUAGUACAGUGAAGAUAAAAAAAAAAGAAAAGGAAUUUGCUUGAAUCUUUUCUUUUGAUUUUUGUUACUCUCCCACAAAAUAAAGAGAGAAGGGGUUUACAUAUGUGUUUAACGGCAGAAGGAGGAAGAAAAAAAAAACUAUCUGCCUUGUCUGAAUCUAUACAUAAAAACUCAGACCCAACUUUUGCCAAUAUUAUUGAGACCCCAAAUCAUCUAUGGAAAGAAAUACCCUAGAAGAAACGUAACGCUAAAGAUUACAUAAAUUCUGUAGAAUCACUAAUUAUAGCAAGCUGUGAGGUCAGGUAUAGCAUAGCAGAGCGCGUAAUGGUUAGAUCUUCUGGAGGUAAAUUUUUUUUUUAUGGAAAUGUGAAACCUAAUUCAUGAACUUUCUGCAGUUUGGGGCUUUACACAGGCAAGGAACCUUGAAAUCCUCACAUUCGUCUGGUUCAAAUAAGUAGUCGUACCUGUCAGUAUUGCAGCCAAAUGAAAUAUAUCAGGGGCGGACUUACUAAAUGUAGGCAUUAAUUUGUGUGAGCGUGUGAGUGCUGCAUGCUUGUAUGAGAGAGAGAGAGAGAGAGAGAAAUACGUUAAUUCAUCACCAGCAGCCACAUUUGCCUUUGCGAUAAGUACAAUCCGACUCUCAUCAGCUCCUACACUCAUGAUCCGUGCAUAGCAGUUUGGCAUGCACUGUGAAAAUAACAAAGCAAACCCACAAAAAGACUGUAAGAGGACUCAUUGAUUAAGGUAACUUGAGAACGAAAAUACCGCAUUCAUUGACUUGCUAAAUUUGCUGAUCACAGAUGUAUUAUAGGACAAAAAAUAUGGCUUGAAAGGGGAACAUAAUUUCUAGCAUUCUCAGGAGACUUUGCCAUGAUAGGACAUACAUAAAUAUUUGCUGAGUAUUGAAACAUAUUUAUCAAAUUAGGAGUAUAUUUAAGAUCCAAUCAGACAAAUAUUCACUGAUAUCAGAUUAGAUUCAGAUUACAAACAAUCCUACUAUAAUCUUGUGGGGUUAUGAUCAAUACUCAAUUUCUUUCCCUGUUGAACCAUCAAUGAGAUUAAUACCAUUAAAGAAGUAACCACAUAAUGGGUUUGAAAAUGAUCUCCUUCAGUUUUAGAAGACGAAUUGCACCUGUGUAUUUUAUUUUCUUUUACCUAAUUUAGUUCACUAGCCUUUGCUUUUUCAGUUGCAGGUUUUGAUAACAAGGAGCAGCACAAAAAUCGGUAACACACGAAAAGAACACGGAAUACAAGAUCACUUUCUCAAGAAAAAAGAAGAAGAAUUAACAAGAUCUACAGAGCAUGAUAGAAGGGAGAAGCACCAUCAAAUAUAUAAUUCUAGUUUGAUUCCACAUAUGAAGAGAAGAGUCGGGUACAAUGAAAGAUAAGUGAUACUUACUGAA
rnacentral:lncRNA from 1 species